rnacentral:rRNA from 1 species
GUGGAUCCCUCGGCUUGUGGGUCGAUGAAGAACGCAGCUAAUUGCGCGUUGACAUGUGAAUUGCAGGACACAUGAACAUCGACAUUUCGAACGCACAUUGCGGCCCUAGGACUUGUUGUUCUGGGCACUGACUGAGGGUCGGUUGACCAAACUCAACGACCAGACUGUCCGCCGGCUUUCCCAACCGAAAUAGAAUGGAGUCUCCCUCCUCGGGCGUGUUACUCUUAAAGAAUGUGAGUGUGGGCUUGGCGUUCUCCCCCUCCCACCGCUAUCCCGGCAGGGAAGGCAAGCGAUUGGGUUUUCACUCGGUCUCACAACCGAUUAUGUCCUUCUCUUUCGCUUGAAGCUGAUGGUGACAUUGGGCCCGUGCGCUCGUUUUCGAUUUAAACAAAGCCGCCGCCUCGGAUGAGUUUGCUUGAGGGCCCCGUCCCCCUCAGGACAAAGAUCCGGGCGGCGGGCGCGAGCAUCAAUGUCAAUGCGAUUGUGACUUACUCUUUAGUCUUGGCAGUGACCACCGCUUCGUCGGCCAGGGCCAUUCACUAUCUCAAUCUCAGUGAGAGUGACACCACCCCUUGAACUUAUGCAUAUCAGUAGGCGGAGGAAAAGAAACUAAC